AUGCUCGCUUCGGCAGCACAUAUACUAAAAUUGGAACGAUACAGAGAUUAGCAUGGCCCCUGCACAAGGAUGACGCACAAAUUCAUGAAGCGUUCCAUAUUUAA
rnacentral:snRNA from 1 species